UACGUAGGGUGCGAGCGUUGUCCGGAAUUAUUGGGCGUAAAGGGCUCGUAGGCGGUCUGUCACGUCGGGAGUGAAAACUCGGGGCUUAACCCUGAGCCUGCUUCCGAUACGGGCAGACUAGAGGUAUGCAGGGGAGAACGGAAUUCCUGGUGUAGCGGUGAAAUGCGCAGAUAUCAGGAGGAACACCGAUGGCGAAGGCAGGUCUCUGGGCAUUAACUGACGCUGAGGAGCGAAAGCAUGGGGAGCAAACAGG
rnacentral:rRNA from 1 species